rnacentral:misc_RNA from 1 species
GAUGAAGAACGUAUUGAAAUGCGAUAAGUAAUGUGAAUUGCAGAAUUCAGUGAAUCAUCGAAUCUUUGAACGCACAUUGCGCCCCCUGGUAUUCCGGGGGGCAUGCCUGUUCGAGCGUCAUUUCACCACUCAAGCCUCGCUUGGUAUUGGGCAACGCGGUCCGCCGCGUGCCUCAAAUCGACCGGCUGGGUCUUCUGUCCCCUAAGCGUUGUGGAAACUAUUCGCUAAAGGGUGUUCGGGAGGCUACGCCGUAAAACAACCCCAUUUCUAAGGUUGACCUCGGAUCAGGUAGGGAUACCCGCUGAACUUAAGCAUAUCAAUAAGCGGAGGA